rnacentral:tRNA from 1 species
GAAAUAUAAAGCCUAAAAUUAAGCUGCUAACUUAAUUUUUAGUGGUUUAAUUCCAU